GAUGAAGAACGCAGCGAAAUGCGAUAAGUAAUGUGAAUUGCAGAAUUCAGUGAAUCAUCGAAUCUUUGAACGCACAUUGCGCCCCUUGGUAUUCCGAGGGGCAUGCCUGUUCGAGCGUCAUUAUAACCCCUCAAGCUCAGCUUGGUGUUGGGGCCUGCCGCACGGGCAGCCCUUAAAAUCAGUGGCGGUGCCAUCUGGCUCUAAGCGUAGUAAUUCUUCUCGCUAUAGAGUCCCGGUGGAUGCUUGCCAUUAACCCCCAAUUUUCUAUGGUUGACCUCGGAGCAGGUAGGGAUACCCGCUGAACUUAAGCAUAUCAAUAAGCGGAGGA
rnacentral:misc_RNA from 1 species